rnacentral:tRNA from 1 species
GUUCCUAUAGCAUAAUUGGAUAGUGCGUCCGCCUCCUAAGCGGUUGAUCCCGGUUCGAAUCCGGGUGGGAACAUCA